rnacentral:snRNA from 1 species
AGCUCGAGUUUCUCUUCAUUGUCGCAUAAAUCUUUCGCCUUUUACUAAAGAUUUCCGUGGAGGGGAACUUUUGCGAGUGAUCUGUAUUUUUGGGGGCUCUGCUCACAGCAGAGG